GCCCCGGUAGCUCAAUUGGUAGAGCAACAGCCUUUUAAGCUGGAGGUUGGGGGUUCGAUUCCCUCCCGGGGCACAA
rnacentral:tRNA from 1 species